rnacentral:lncRNA from 1 species
UGGCAUUCCCUGAAUCAAAUAAAAUUUACAACCAGUUUUCAACCUGUUGUUCAAACUUCUCGCUAGAUCGUCAAAUGAUAAAGUAUCCCAUAGAAAAUCUUUAUAUCUUCCACUAUCUACCAAAUUAAAAUAUAGUAGGGGUAUAACCACAAUAUGAACAUUAGAUAAUACAAAAUCCUAUUUGGUACACCCUCGUAAAAAAUAAAGUCGUACCUAUUAGACACACCAUUUAAUCCAGUAACGAUGGCAAAUUUCCUAGGAGUAAAAUUAAGAGAGGUGCCAUUAGCCCGAAUGAUUAUCCCAGAAAAAGAACUACCCUUAACCUCGAGCGUCAUAACACAUCGGCACAAUUGUGCUUGAACUACACAAUGCUUCUUCUUCAUGAAAUAACCAAAAAUGAUAUUGUCACAAAACUUUUUCUACUGUUCCUUGUUUAAUAUGGAGUGUAUGGUUCCAUCAAUAUCAUUAUAACUGUACGAGCAUAUAUGUGGUGCAAAUCUUGAAAGUUUUCUGACAAUGAAUAUUUCGUCACGCAUCACCUAUACAAAGUAAAACUACAACUUCUUAAACUUUAAAAAAAAAUAUUCAAAUAAGCAAAAAAAUACAUAUAACAUGCAUAUAUAUUUUGAUCAGACCAAAAAUACAACUAAUACUGAAAAAUACAUAUCAAGUAUACUAAAAAUACAUAUAGCCAAAAGGCUCUUCAUGAGUAGUUAAUAUAACAAGAUAUUUUCAUAAUUAUACUAUCAGCUUUGUAUUAAAUUUUGCGCUCCUAAUAUCAUCAUAACAUAAAAUACAUAUUAACUACUUGAAAAAAAAUACAUAUAACUCCCAACUUUGAUACUAACAUCUUUACUUAGAGCAAAACAAAAAUUAACAGUCAAUAAUAGAAAAUACAUUUACAACAAAAAAAUACCUCUUCCUCAAUAUCUUCUUCAGAAUCAUCAGCAAAGGAGCUCUGAACAUCGUCAUCAUCCUUACUUAAUUCUUCAAUUUCUUUAGCUUUUCUUUUCUUCACGUAUUUUUAAAUUUUUUGUUCCUUUGGAGAAAGAGUUUUCUUCAACUUUUUUUCUUCUUUCAAAAUUCCAGUCAUCUUCACCGUGUUGUUAC